AUUGACCGCUGGCGGCAGGCCUAACACAUGCAAGUCGAACGAGUGGCGGACGGGUGAGUAAUGCUUGGGAAUCUAGCUUAUGGAGGGGGAUAACUACGGGAAACUGUAGCUAAUACCGCGUACCAUCGGAUGUGCCCACUUGGGAUUAGGUAGUUGGUGAGGUAAAGGCUCACCUAGCCGACGAUCGCUAGCUGGUCUGAGAGGAUGACCAGCCACACUGGGACUGAGACAUGGCCCAGACUCCUACGGGAGGCAGCAGUGGGGAAUAUUGCACAAUGGGCGCAAGCCUGAUGCAGCCAUGCCGCGUGUAUGAAGAAGGCCUUCGGGUUGUAAAGGACUUUCAGUCGGGAGGCGUUACCGGCAGAAGAAGCACCGGCUAACUCCGUGCCAGCAGCCGCGGUAAUAC
rnacentral:rRNA from 1 species